rnacentral:rRNA from 1 species
UAGGGAAUCUUCGGCAAUGGGGGGCAACCCUGACCGAGCAACGCCGCGUGAGUGAAGAAGGUUUUCGGAUCGUAAAGCUCUGUUGUAAGAGAAGAACGUGUGUGAGAGUGGAAAGUUCACACAGUGACGGUAACUUACCAGAAAGGGACGGCUAACUACGUGCCAGCAGC